rnacentral:lncRNA from 1 species
AACUUUCAAACACUUAUGGCUUACCAUACUUUCCAUCGACCACAUUACACUUAAAAAAUAAACCUCGUCCUUUGACCCUACUGAUCCAAAAAAAUGCCGACUAUGAAGAAGAACCACACCAUUCAAAUCAAGUAAAGAGAGAAACAUUUUGUGACAUAUGUUGUUUGCCGAAUUGAGGAUAGAUGCAUGCGUGUGGCCCUUCACACGAACGGUUUUCUCAACACCAAACUAUAUCACACCAAGCAAAAGAC